GUUGCCUGGCUCCAUUCACCACCUCCAGGAUCCUGUCAGCCAGGAGCACUCACAUCAGAUGCAAGUGCCCCUCUUGGAGAAUAAAAUGAAUGAAGAGCUAUCGCAGCAGUAGAGGGACCUGAUGGAUGGAGAG
rnacentral:lncRNA from 1 species